CGGAAUCACAGUUUCUCCUCUGAUGAUCAAAACCUGAGAAAUGAAAAGAUGUUGACUUUCAGCAGAAGAACUCUGGACAGGAUUUACUCCACGGUCUUGCUGGCCGUGGUGGUCUUGUCCUGGUCUUAUGUGAUCUACGCCAGCAGGAUCGCGUCUCAUUGGCUGCUGGAGAAGAGAACCGCUGCUCUGCUGCAGGACUGACGGCUGGAGGUCCAGAAGAUUAUGAUGCCUUCAGGAACUUCAGGACUUUUUGGGUUUCAUUGAUAUAAACUUGUCGCGUUCGAGGACUUCAUUACCCAGAAGUCCAGUUUGCACCAGACGAGAUGAUGAUGUCACAUGACUGACAGGGAGCUCAUUGAUUGGACUGUUUUGGUGAUGUCAUCACUACGUGGAUGCAGAGUGGUCGAUCAUUAUUGAUGAUUUAUGAUCUUCUCUGGUCGCUCCUCUGGUUCUUAUUGGCUGUUAAAACUUCUUCAAUUUACAAAGUUUUCUAAAGUUUCAGCAAACAAAACAAAACAAAACAAAGAUCCUCCGAACUUUUCGUUCUUUUUAGUUUCAGAUUCACUCUCUGUGUUUCCGUCCAUCUUCAACAAUCAGUUUAUUAAUCGAUUAGACGAUGAGCAGAAAAAUAAGAAUCUGUUGUUUUUCUGUCAUUUUAAACAGAAAAUGAAACAAUAAGUUUGGGAGAAAACAUUUGAAGAUGAAACUAGUUAAGAUCAGUUUGUACUGUUCUAAUAUUUCUACACACAAAUAAUAAUAUUAGUCUUUUUGUUUGUUGUAAAAACUUAAACAGAAUCUUUGUAGAUGGAUUAAGGGAAGUUAGUUUCUGUUAAAGCUUCGAUGGUUUAUCUGUAAAUAAAGAUCAUUUAGAAGAGCUGCAUGUUUACUAGGUUCAAAGUUCAUAGUUAAAAGGAGCUUAAACGUCAUGUUUUAAAGCCUACUUUUACAUUUUAUACCGAGAAAAUGUUCUAGAAGAUGUUUCAGAGUGAGAUUUAAUGUGUUUUGGUGCCAUUUUGACAAGAAAGUGUCUAUUAAUGAUUAUUUAAUGUCAAACUUCUGACAGUAAACUGAAAAUUCUUAGAUUUGAUUUAAUCGAAUCAAAUGAAAUGAGACGUGUAGACAAAUGAAUCUGUGUAAUGAUCGAUCAUCUUUUAUCGUUCUAAGAACUCAGUAACUUCCUCCCUCCCUCCUUUCCUUCCUUCCUUCCCUCCUUCCUUCCUCCCUUCCUCCUUUCCUUCCUUCCUCCCUUCCUCCCUUCCUUCCCUCCUUCCUCCCUUCCUUCCUUCCAGAUGAUGUAAUCAUUUUAAAAACAAACAUUUUUAAAGGACCAACAUGUUUACAGGUCUCAGAUAUGAACUACAGUGUUUCUGUGUUUUAUGUUCAACAUGUUUAACUUAUUUAUAUUUUCUACAGUGUGAAAAGUUUUAAACAUUAAAGAUGUUUCAGAUUAAAAGCUUCAUUUCAUCUGCUGUGAUUAAAAAAAGUCGACGCAGGCUGAAGA